UUUGCCACGAGUCCCACAUUGCUCAGAAAACAAUUGUUACAUAUGUUUAUAUACUCUAAUGUCAGAAGGUAAGCUCGUCCCUUCGGGGACAUCCGAUAAAAUUGGAACGAUACAGAGAAGAUUAGCAUGGCCCCUGCGCAAGGAUGACACGCACAAAUCGAGAAAUGGUCCAAAUUUUUUUAUACAAUUCUAUGCUUGUUUUUCCUUAUGAUUCCAUUCACCAAAGCACCGCUGCAAAUCUCUCUGAUUUCAUUUACUUUUUUCCUUCAGUAAUGGAGUGGUUUUCCUCUUGUGCUGUUAAGCCAACAUUCUGGUCUCGAAGUCUUUCACUUAAACUAUUGAGGUAAGCUUUUUGAAAGACUCGGAAUGUUUCGUGUCCAAAAUUAUUUGUUGCUUUUAUUACAAUAAGUUCACUGAGGAGAUCAUAGUUUUAUGCAUCGAGUGUUUAUGUGUUUAGACAUCUUCAACGAGAAGAAUAUUGUCCCCACCUCUGUAAAGGUUGAAUUGAUUAAAAUGUUAGUUUCUAAGUUUUGUCUCACCUAAAUGGGUUCCACGGUAAACAAUUUGGUAAUUAUGUGGAAAAAUGAUUGCAUUCAAAGGGGUUAUUUUUCUCCUCUGCACUUUUCAUUUUUUGUUUUUAUUGUCAUUCUUCUUAUGUAUGUGUCAGUUAAUGCCAUUACUUUCACUUAGGCUUUUUUUGUGUGAGUUGUAGACUUGUAGCUGCGUUGGUUGCUAGAAAUGAAAAAAGCAUUAUUUUUACUUGUUCCUGCUUCUUUUCAUGCUGUUGAAUUUAUUGUCAAUUUUUUUUACUCAUUGAGAAUCACUGUGUAUCUGCUUUAUUUUAUCUUAUCAUUUUUGUAUCAUAGUUUCUUUAGUUUGUCAAUUUUGCUUUUCAUGGUUGGAGUUCUAAACCUUUCUCAUCUUUAGUUUGAUGGACUUAUAUUUCACUGGUAUCUUGUUUCUCUUUGAGCUAUCAGAUGCUAAGGAUGUAAUGGAAGCAAUUCAAGAUGUUGACAAGCAAGUCUGAGAACAGACUAAAGAAUUUACAACCAGAAAAACUCUUAAACAACUACAAACCAGAAAAAUACAAUUAAAAGAAACUCCAGUUUCCAACUAAAUCAGCAAAAAAUAAACCCGUAAAACUCCUUUACAUUUAGUACUCAUUUAGCUGCCCAAUAUCUGAAUUUAUUCCACAGAUGAGGAGAAGUCUCCUCAGUAUCUUCAAAAAUUCAUCUAUUGCGCUCCAAGCAAAUCGCUCAUCACAUGGCCAUGGCUGCUAGCCUGCUACACCCCAAAAAUCUCAUGACAAUGCUGCUGGAAUACCCACUGUAUAUUGAACUCUCCGAACAAAGUUCUCAGCUGUUAACGAUCAAAUUGCUGAAUGAUUAUUGAAAAGAUCAAAAUGAAUGUGCAUUUUCUGAUACCAAUUUGACAAUUCUUUUCUUGAUCAUUAGGAAGUAAUCGAGUCAGUCACCCACUCACCACCAAAAGUAUUUGACAAUGGAGUUACCUCUAUGGAUCAUGAUCACACAGGUUAGCUCAUUUUUUGUGGUGAUUCACUGGGGUGUAUGUACUCUGUAAGUAUGAAUUCUCACACAGCAGCAUUAUCCCGUUCUCAUCGAUAUCGAGACAGUAGCAGGAAAAAAUCUGCCGUCACAACUGUGCAAUGCCGGAGUUUCUCUCUGAUGGCUCGUAGCCCAGUGUUGUUGACAUGUACUCAAGAUGGAAAUUUAACUUUCUUCAGUAUUGCUCUAGAAGUUCGAGGCUAUUUGACUCUUCUCUGCUCUCUCAAAUUAACCCCGCGAAUACACAGCAUCCGGGCUUCCUUCUGUCCUCUACUUUCCCCCGAGAAAGGAGAAUAUAUUGGUCUGUUAUGCAUCUUCCAAUUUCAAGUGAACCGUUAUGCUUCUAUAUAGAAAACUGACAUUGUGAUUUUCUUUUAUUACUUAGUGGCGGUAAGUGAGGAUUCGAAUGUAUACUUCUAGGAUCUAACUCGGCCAAAGCAUACAUGUGUAAACAAGCUACAGGCGCAGUCUUGUUGGCUUAAAAGGUUUCAAUAGCUCAUCUUAGUUCAGUUUAAAUGUCAACUGACCAAAACAUAUGGAACUUGCAGGGUCAAAGGUUUCCGGUUAUGGAUGUUGCCUGGAAUCAUGGAGCAAACUUAUUGGCUUCGUCUGAUUUUUUAUGGCACAGUUAUUGUGUGGAAGAGAUCAAAGACGAGUUAAGACCAAAAUAUAUACCAACAACAAGCCAUUAGUGACAGAUCACAAAACUCUGAACUGGAGUGGUGUGGUGUGGAGUCUCAAGAAAGACUUCAAUUUGCCAUUCUUUUUUGGAGAGUGGAAACCAUUGAACCAUUUUUACCAAAUGUGUCACACCAAGUAUUGCAUUAUAAUUGAUUGUUGUAUCAGUCACAGACUCACAGAUUUAUUUAUUUAUUUUUAAAUCAAUCACAGUUAGUUACCUACGUAUUUUUUGAAUCGAAUAUGUCUACAUUAUUUUUCCAUUUCAAUCUUCUCAGCAAUGUUAUCAUUUUGUAAAAUUUGAGGAUAAAUAUAAAGGGAAAUUUUACUUUUUAU